CCAGAACUGAUCAGUUACUCGCAAGCGUUUAAUAUAAGAACUUCAAUUUAUUGUGACACACUUUAUAACAAUAAAAGAAGACAGCAGAAGGGAACAAAACUUGCUUAAACUGGUUAAUUAUUUCGUCGGCCGAUAAUGAUCACUAUUAUAUUGCUAUUACUUAUCCUUAUUCUACUGAUAUCUAAUUAUUAUGUGCAUUAUUAUGGACAAAAAGGCCGACUUAUCAAUCUUAUACCAGGACCAUCGGGUUAUCCGAUUGUUGGAAAUGCAUUUCAAUAUCUUGUUUCACGAG